GAUGAACGCUAGCGGCAGGCCUAACACAUGCAAGUCGAGGGAGAGGUUACCUUCGGGUAACCAAAACCGGCGCACGGGUGCGUAACGCGUAUACAAUCUGCCUUUCACAUAGGGAUAGCCCGAAGAAAUUUGGAUUAAUACCUAAUGGUAUAUAAGAGCGGCAUCGUUUUUAUAUUAAAGCUACGGUGGUGAAAGAUGAGUAUGCGUUCUAUUAGCUAGUUGGAGAGGUAACGGCUCCCCAAGGCGACGAUAGAUAGGGGUUCUGAGAGGGAUGUCCCCCACACUGGUACUGAGAUACGGACCAGACUCCUACGGGAGGCAGCAGUGAGGAAUAUUGGACAAUGGUCGGAAGACUGAUCCUGCCAUGCCGCGUGCAGGAUGAAGGUCCUAUGGAUUGUAAACUGCUUUUGUAAGGGAAGAAUAAGGAGUACGUGUACUUUGAUGACGGUACCUUACGAAUAAGCAUCGGCUAACUCCGUG
rnacentral:rRNA from 1 species